rnacentral:rRNA from 1 species
CAAUAGCGUAUAUUAAAGUUGUUGCAGUUAAAAAGCUCGUAGUUGGAUUUCUGGGAGGGUGCCAAUGUCCGUCAACGUGCGUGUGCAGCGGCGCCCUUCCAUCCUUCUGUUAACGCCUCUGGGCAUUCACUUGCCGGUGGCGGGCUCAGAUAUUUUACCUUGAGAAAAUUAGAGUGUUUCAGGCAGGCUAGGCCGGAAUACAUUAGCAUGGAAUAAUAGAAUAGGACUAUGGUCUCUUUGUUGGUUUGAGGGACUAUGGUAAUGAUUAAUAGGGAUAGUUGGGGGCAUUAGUAUUUAAUUGUCAGAGGUGGAAUUCUCAGAUUUGUUAAAGACUAACUUAUGCGAAAGCAUUUGCCAAGGAUGUUUUCAUUAA